AAUCUCCUCUAGGCUGGUACAGCAUCAAAGACCAUCUGCGCUGAUGGGUGGAGGUGCACAGGCCUUUGCUGGCCAGGAUAGCAGCAUCAGUCCAGCACCAGAUGAGCACAUCUUCACUGCUUGGAUAGAGACUGGACCAACCCCUGAUUUGUGGAAAUGGUCCUCUCCUGCUUCAUCAUGAGGUGUGUUGUUGAAGAAGUAUGUGAGAGCAGAAAAGAGUUAAAAUAGCAUUGUCAUCCCCUGAAUAGAACAUACCUAGGUCCUGUAUGAUACAGCAUCUGCACCGGGUAGGUGCACGCUGAGCAUGCUGUGGCUGGGCAAGGACUGCACAGAUCUGGGGGCAGUUUGCUAUUUCACAUGCUCUUACUGCACUCAGCACAGUAAAACACCUCCUCCAAGCUGAAGGAGGGACAGGAGCUUCUUCAUGCACUAUUUCCACCACGUCUGCCCAUCUCUACUCCUACCACUGACUAAUUGGUUUGGCUGCCUCAAGAUGACCUCUGAAGAGAUGUAACCUUUGAACCCAUGGUAAGAACUUGAUUCUCUACAAAAGACAUCUAAAAGAAGAGGAUGGAAAAGAAAACGCAAUCAUAUUUUGUUCCUCCAAAAAUACAACAACCCCACUCCAGCAAAAUCCUACUUUCCAGCCUGACGGUGCUGGCCCAGCUCACUUACAGAGCUGCAGUCACCACGUUCCUCCAGGUUAUCGUUUCCUCUAGAUUGCACUGCUGCAAGUCAAGGUGAUUGAAGCGUGGGGGUGUAAAGCAAUCUGCAAUGGGUCAGUAAGCUGUUGCAAGUCAGUGUUAGCUGCUAAGAUUUGAUCCCAGACCCACUGACUGCCUGAAACAAUGCGCUUGUCCAAGGGAACCAUGAAUCAAGUGCUGUAAACCAUGCUAAAUAAAAAAUCUAGCAUGCUUUUAUUCUUUGGUUACACUUAAAACAUUCAGCUUAUUUAUUUGGAUGUUACAUUACUGAAUUUCAAUUUUUAUGCUUCUUUUUGGGAAUCUUAGGCUCUGUUUAUUCUCAGGGUUCAAUUUCCAUGUCCAGAAUAAGUAUCAAAAAUGUCCUCACAGAAUCUGAACCUGAUCAGGUAGGAAACAUGCACUGGUCUGUAGGAAUAAAAUUCUGCUCAGAAUCUGCCCACUGUAAGUUGGAGGGACCAGUCCCCUUCUCUUUGCCCUUUGUCCUUCCUCAGCUUCAAAUAUAUAGGGCAUUCAGCAGGGUCUGCUAAUUAUUUUGGUCUUGUCCUAUUCAGUUUAAGCUUUCAUUUGCCUUGAUAGAAGAUUUGGACAACUUGUCUGUUGUUUUGCGUAAUGCUUUUUAAGGUUGCGUCCAUACUACUGCUUGAUGUGGAAGUUGUAUUGGUGACAUUCUCAAGGCAUGUCCUCAAUGUGUCUCUUGUUAUCUCACCAUUUGUGAUGCCCGAGGUUGCCUUGUCCUAUUUAGAUUUGUGAUGUAGAGGAGCUGACUUGCCAACUCAUAUGGAAGUUUGCACUCACUGUGGAGUGACUUAUCCUAUCAAAUUUCUGCUGUAGGUUUCUGUGGCCCUGCUCCGUGAAGAAGAGCUGACAUGGUCCCGUUGUUGGCAACUUUUAUUUCUGCAUCAGCAUAAAAGAUAUUUUUAAUACUACUUAAUAAAAAUACUUUUAAUACUACUUAAUACUAUUUUUAGAUGCUGUUUUUUUAAAGUUUAAAAGAUGUUCAAAAUCAUUUGUUUAGUUUUGAUGUUUGGUUCCCUGAUAUUCAUUGCUUCAUAGUUAACCCAGAGCAAUAUUGUCAUCACAGCAUUUCUUCCUCCAUAAAUAAGAAUUUGCCAGUAAGAAUUUCUCCCUUUGGUUAUUUUCCUGGUGGCCUUGUCAACGCCCUGUGGAGCCACCAGUGAUCUCACCAAGGAGCAGCGGGGGCCGUUCUCUUGAGCUGAAUGGUGACAACAGGAGGUUGGCGGAGGUCAGUGGGGCUUUUGCUGGCACCCUCAGCCUUAAACAGCAUGCCUUUGGUGACUGUUCCCCUGCACUGAAAUCUUGUAGCAUGCAAGUGCUGUUGGAAAGCAACCAGGAGAUAUCGCACCUCUGUCCUACAGGUGACCUCUCACCCCUUAUAGCAUCAAAGGCAGAAAUCUGUCGGGUUCAGUGUGAGCUGAUUUAGGUGCCUAAAUACCAUGGAAAAACUGUAUGCAAGCUGCACAUAACAGCGGUGGCUUUCUCCCAGCCCAGCAGAGCUGGAUUUCCUCUGGGACAGCUGGAACAGGGGAAUAAACCACCUCUCCCCAGCUGGAGCACAGGCAGCUUGCAAGCCGUGCCACGGCCUGCGAGGCAGGAAGGCCUUUUCCAUCAGAGGGCUGAUGGUUCUGAGGCAGCCUCUGCAGGAAAGCCAGAACAAUGGGAAACCAGAGUUAACCUCGCUUCUCCAGGCGGAUUUGGGGAUGAAAUGGAGGAGGAGCAGCGCUGGCUCGGUGCCACAGCUCUGCAUGCGGUGGGGAUGGAGAAGCUGCGAUAACAUGGCUCCUUGGCUGAGGCUUUAAAAAGAAGGCGCUCACUUUUUCUGUUGUUUUUUCAAGCAUUACAUAAAAGUUCCCCUCAAAAGGCCAAAGGCAGCUGUUUUCUUAGGACAAGGAAGUCAGGAAGAGGCAAAGCAGGCAAAAACAUCAGAUAAGUCUGGGAGAGGAAAAAAAAAAAAAAGGGAAAAAGAAAAACUUGGCUAACCUAUUUUUCCCCCCUCUUAAACAGCCAAACCUCUGCAGAGCUCUGUCUAGGAGGAAAAGCAGAGCUGACGACUGACAACCGGUACCCGUGCUCCAGUGAGGACCGCUGCUCUCGCUCCCCUCUGGGCA